UUCUUUUAACACAAUCCUUCCACAGAGCAGGUGAUUUGGAUGAAGUUUUCAUGAAAUGUAAGACAAUGAUCCUCUGUAAUGUCAUCCAGAGUUCCAGUGCUAUGCUGCAAGGUCGAUGAACAUUUUUUAUUUUAACGAGUUCAAUUUUCAAGGGAGACAACCAUUAAAAUUCAAAUGGAGAUCUGGGAAUUUCCAAGAACUUUCCCUCCCAGCAAGAAUAGGAAUGUAGAAUACAGUGGAGAAGAUUGGAAAAAUUCUUCAAGAAUUGACUGUGUACUCCAGGAACCAGUGCUAUCCGGAUAUCUGCUUGCUCUGGUUUUGUUGAGCCAAGCUUUUCCCAAAAGCCAGCUGAGGAUGGAUCUCCUUUCAAAUGAUCUGCAACAAGCCAAUAUUAUAUGACAUAUAAUAUUGUCAUAGCUGUCAUGAGUCAGAUUCUUCUAGAGCACAGGCAAGAAUUCUCUGCAAGAAUAGGAAUGUAGAAUACAGUGGAGAAGAUUGGAAAAAUUCUUCAAGAAUUGACUGUGUACUCCAGGAACCAGUGCUAUCCGGAUAUCUGCUUGCUCUGGUUUUGUUGAGCCAAGCUUUUCCCAAAAGCCAGCUGAGGAUGGAUCUCCUU
ensembl:lincRNA